rnacentral:rRNA from 1 species
CGGACCGGCGCACGGGUGAGUAACACGUAUGCAACCUGGCCGUCACAGGUGGAUAACCGGAAGAAAUUCCGACUAAUACAGCAUAACACUCCUGAGGGACAUCCCUUGGGAGUCAAAGGAGGCAACUCCGGUGACGGAUGGGCAUGCGGCGCAUUAGGUAGUUGGUAGGGUAACGGCCUACCAAGCCGACGAUGCGUAGGGGUUCUGAGAGGAAGGUCCCCCACAUUGGAACUGAGACACGGUCCAAACUCCUACGGAAGGCAGCAG